CUUUCUGCUAUGACAAGGCACCACUGAGUUCAGUGCAGCGUCUCACAAUUGCUGCACUCUUCCUCUCCAAAGUACACAGAUUCAUUCUCCAUGCCAUGCAGCAGCUGCCAGGGAAUACGGGGGGAAGAGUGGCAUCAGUGAUUCAAGACUGUCUCCUACCCUCUUCAGUGCCUCUUUCAGCAAUAUGAAUUUAAAACUAGCCAAGAUCAUCAUCCAGGAGUCAUUGGGGUGGAAAUGGAAGUGGCACCCUCACUAUUAGCCCUACUGACCCACUAGCAAAAAUGUUGCUUCUGGUUUCUGCAACCUCAUGCCCUCAGUCUCAGAAGGAGAAAGGCUUUCACCAAGAGACAUAAUGAUUCCAUUGAACUGGAAGUUAAGUCUGCUGUCUGGUUACUUUGGGCUCUUCAAGCCUCUUAAUCAACAGGCAAAGAAGUGAGUUAAUGCUCUGACCAGGGUGAUUUGUCCCAACUACAAGGAGGACGUUGAACUGCUAUGCCACAGUGGAAGUAAGGAAGAGUAUGUCUGCAAUACAGAAGAGCCCUUAGGGCAUUUCAGGAUUACCAUGCAACGUGGUUAAGGUCAACAGAAAACUACAACAGCCCAAUCCAGGCAACAUUACACUACUAACAUCUCAAAAUCUUAUAGAGUGAAGAUUUGGAUCACUUAACCAGGCCUUUGGACUCACACUGGAACUAACACCAUUGGCUUUCCUCAGUCUCCGGCCUUUGCACUUGGACUAGAAUUCUAUCAUUGGCUCUCCUAUGUCUCCACCUUGCCAAAUGAAGAUCUUGGGACUUCUCAGACUUCAUAAUCAUACAGAGUCUCACCUUGUGGCCCAGACUGGAAUACAGUGGUGCAAACAUGGCUCACUGCAGCCUUGACCUCCUGGGCUCAAGCGAUCUUCCCACCUCAGCCCCCUAAGUAGCUGGGACUACAGGUGUGCACCACUAUGCCCAGCUAAUUUUUGUAUUUUGGUAGAGAUGGGGUUUCUUCAUGUUACCCAGGCUGGUCUUAAACUCCUGAGUUAAGCCAUCCUCCUGACUCAGCCUCCCAAAGUGCUGGGAUUACAGGUGUGAGCCAUGGUGCCCAGCUACAUUUUCAUACUUUGUGUUUAAGCCAGGUAAAUGAAUACCUACUCAAACAAUUUUGAUACAUGUUUUUAAGUGAAAAAAAAAAACUCCUAAUCAUAACUAAAGAGUGAAAUAGGAAGGUUAUGUAAACAAUUUGCCAACUUGCAGAAAUAAAUUUCACUGGUAAAUCUGUUCAUAAUUUUUGUAUAUACUUAAAUAUCACUUUAAGAGGAAAAUGCAUUUGUGAUCUCUUCAGCCUAGGUCAAAUUCUUCUGUCAUAUACUUAUGACACUUAUAUCCAUUUACUUAUGACACAUAUCCAUUUAUACAUAUAUCCAUUUUGUACUUCCUUGGAGCACUCUUAAUAAUUAGUUAAAUAAUCAACUACCAAGAAAUUAAUCUUCCAUCCUAGAAUGAAAGCAUCAAGAGGGCAGUGGCCAGGCCAGCCUUGCUGACUUCUAUAUCUCAUAGUGUCUACACAGAGGAUGCUCUACAUUGGAGGAGGAGUUGGUGUUUCAAAAUCUAAAUGUUUUAUUUCUAGUAAGAGGGUAAAAAUAGCUAUGGCCAUCUCACUGCUACUUAGGUAGAGGGACUGAGGAGUACGCUUUCUGAUCUUUCCACUGCUCUGCGGCUUCCUGCAGGUAUUUUUGCUUUAAGAAAAGAGAGGGGAGUAAGAGCCCAUUUGCCCGGGACAACUGAAGUCUCAAAAGCUGAUGAUGUCCUCUUGAAUAAAGUUUUGGAAUUUUUCCCAUG
rnacentral:lncRNA from 10 species